CCUACGGGUGGCAGCAGUGAGGAAUAUUGGUCAAUGGACGAGAGUCUGAACCAGCCAAGUAGCGUGAAGGAUGACUGCCCUAUGGGUUGUAAACUUCUUUUAUAAAGGAAUAAAACGAGGCACGUGUGCCUUUUUGCAUGUACUUUAUGAAUAAGGAUCGGCUAACUCCGUGCCAGCAGCCGCGGUAAUACAGAGGUCUCAAGCGUUGUUCGGAAUCACUGGGCGUAAAGCGCUCGUAGGCGGUAUGUCAAGUCAAGGGUGAAAUCCCCGCGCUCAACGUGGGAACUGCCUUUGAAACUGGCAAACUGGAGUGUGUGAGAGGAUAGUGGAAUUCCAGGUGUAGGAGUGAAAUCCGUAGAUAUCUGGAGGAACAUCAGUGGCGAAGGCGACUAUCUGGCACAUAACUGACGCUGAGGAGCGAAAGCGUGGGUAGCAAACAGGAUUAGAUACCCUAGUAGUC
rnacentral:rRNA from 1 species